GCCACGGUGGUCUAGCUGUUAGAACACUGGCUUUGUAAUCCUGGGGUCUCGGGUUCGAUUCCCGGCGGUGCCC
rnacentral:tRNA from 1 species